ensembl:lncRNA
GUGAAUUUGUGCACCUUUUAUCAGAGGAUUAUUUUCUACAUGCCGUUAGACAGAGCACUCAGAAAGCGGAGAAGGACAGGUUUAAGCACCUUACUGACAAGAGAGACAGGAGAAAGGCGCGGCAAUUUCAGCCACAGCGUGCGAGUCAAUUUGUCUGCGGCAAUCACAACCCGGACUGACACUCACAGGUUGGCUUGCACAGCCAAUCAAAAAGGUGCAAAUAAAUUCACCCGAAAUGGAUGCUACACCAUUGUCUCCCGAAGAUGAAAGGAUGCCAGAGAUUUUCUACAUGCUUCAUUGACCAUGUUUCACGGACUUUGCUGGGCAUUGGAGGGAACGAGUGAACGAUGGCGUUGUCUGUCUGCUGCUGCUGUCGUGGCUCAUUUGCCUAUUUGGAUUAAAUCUCUUUGGUCAUUGUGGAUGUUCAGGUCAUUGUGGAUGUUCCGAUCAUUGUGGAUGUUCAGAUCAUUGUGGAUGUUCAGGUCAUUGUGGUGGUCAGGCUAACAAGUUCUCCAACAUAGUCGUGUAGACAGGGUAGAAAGAGGUGCUGUGUAUGGCGGAGUGUUUUUUUUCGUGC